rnacentral:rRNA from 2 species
UGGGGAAUUUUGCACAAUGGGGGAAACCCUGAUGCAGCGACGCCGCGUGAUUUAGAAGGCCUUCGGGUUGUAAAAAUCUUUUGUAUGGGAAGAAAAUGACAGUACCAUACGAAUAAGGACCGGCUAAUUACGUGCCAGCAGCCGCGGUAAUACGUAAGGUCCGAGCGUUGUCCGGAAUCAUUGGGCGUAAAGGGUACGUAGGCGGAUAAGCAAGUUAGAAGUGAAAUCCUAUAGCUCAACUAUAGUAAGCUUUUAAAACUGCUCAUCUUGAGGUAUGGAAGGGAAAGUGGAAUUCCUAGUGUAGCGGUGAAAUGCGCAGAUAUUAGGAGGAAUACCGGUGGCGAAGGCGACUUUCUGGCCAUAUACUGACGCUGAGGUACGAAAGCGUGGGUAGCAAACAGG